rnacentral:rRNA from 1 species
UACGAAGGGGGCUAGCGUUGUUCGGAAUUACUGGGCGUAAAGCGCGUGUAGGCGGCCCGGUAAGUCCGCUGUGAAAGUCGAGGGCUCAACCCUCGAAUGCCGGUGGAUACUGUCGGGCUUGAGUACGGGAGAGGCGAGUGGAAUUCCUGGUGUAGCGGUGAAAUGCGCAGAUAUCAGGAGGAACACCGAUUGCGAAGGCAGCUCGCUGGAACGUUACUGACGCUGAGACGCGAAAGCGUGGGGAGCAAACAGG